CCGGAGCAGGAGCUGGAGCUGUCUUCGAUAGAAGAUUCCUCAUGGCUGCUCUGGAGAGUGUGGUCACUGUCUCAGCCUGCCACAGCCAGGAAACAAAAGAGAACAAGAGAGCUCCGGCUUUACAUCUUAAGAUACCACCUGUGAAACAAGCAAUACCAUCUCUGCCUAAGGCUCACGUGGAUCUUCUUUCUGUCUACCCUUAAAGGACAUCUUACCUUGCCCUAAACAGCACAGAAGCAUGUAAAUCAAGAAAUUUCUGCUGAUAAA